AGAGUUUAAUCCUGGCUCAGGAUAAACGCUAGCGGCAGGCCUAACACAUGCAAGUCGAGGGGCUUCGGAUAGAGUACUUCGGUACUCUUGCCGGCGACCGGCGGACGGGUGCGUAACGCGUAUGCAACCUACCUUCAACAGGGGGAUAAUCCGAAGAAAUUUGGUCUAAUACCCCAUAAUAUUCCGACAGGCAUCUGUCGGAGUUGAAAGCUUCGGUGGUUGGAGAUGGGCAUGCGUUGUAUUAGCUAGACGGUGAGGUAACGG
rnacentral:rRNA from 1 species